rnacentral:lncRNA from 1 species
UUUCUCUUUGAGAAACACACGCUUGAUAGCAUUUGUAAUGAAUCGUCACCUUCAGUGAGAGCCUCUUCAAAAAACUGCACAUACUGGCAUGGACAGGACAUUUCCUCUUCUUUGCAACCCUGAACCUGGGAUCUCAUUCGUCAAUACGGGGGCCACCAGAGGAGAGACUGAGGGCUGGCUAAUGCUCCUUCAGCGUGAUGCCUGUGAGCCAUGGUAAUGCAUGAUGGCAUCACAAGCAGGACUAGAGAGUUUUGCCUCCAUCCUCCAGGCCAAGAAUUCAGAUGAAGAACAGGAGAACUACAAGCAAACACCAGUACUCUAAAUUACACCUUUAUCAUGCAGCUGGCAGGCACUGACUGAGCACCCAAGAUCUCCAAACAUCAUGCUAUGAGACACAAAAGAUGCUCUGUGGUCCUUGGCCAUCAAAACAUCCAUGUUCCGCCACCCAUCUCUGGGGCUGAGGGUGUCUGCUGGGCCAAAUUGUCUGCCGGUGACAGAGAGAAACCAACAGAAAGAGAGACAGAUGCCCUUGACAAACAGCACACUCUGCACUACACCUGUGUGACUUGUCACCAAGAGAUGUCCAACAGUGGAUGAUCAGAGAUGGGGAGAAAGCAGCUCACUUAUUUUUC